rnacentral:tRNA from 1 species
GGAGGGGACAGCUCAGUGGUGAGCGUGUGCUUAGCAUGCACAAGGUGCUGGGUUCAAUCCCCAGGACCUCCA